rnacentral:rRNA from 1 species
UACGGAGGGGGCUAGCGUUGUUCGGAAUUACUGGGCGUAAAGCGCGUGUAGGCGGCUUUGCAAGUCGGGCGUGAAAUCCCAUGGCUCAACCAUGGAAGUGCACUCGAAACUGCAGAGCUAGAGUCCUGGAGAGGAAGGUGGAAUGCUUGGUGUAGAGGUGAAAUUCGUAGAUAUCAAGCGGAACACCGGUGGCGAAGGCGGCCUUCUGGACAGUGACUGACGCUGAGACGCGAAAGCGUGGGGAGCAAACAGG